rnacentral:rRNA from 1 species
GAUGAACGCUGGCGGCGUGCUUAACACAUGCAAGUCGAACGGAAAGGCCCAAGCUUGCUUGGGUACUCGAGUGGCGAACGGGUGAGUAACACGUGGGUGAUCUGCCCUGCACUUCGGGAUAAGCCUGGGAAACUGGGUCUAAUACCGGAUAGGACCACUUCUUGGAGGUUGUGGUGGAAAGUUUUUUCGGUGUGGGAUGGGCUCGCGGCCUAUCAGCUUGUUGGUGGGGUAAUGGCCUACCAAGGCGCUGACGGGUAGCCGGCCCGAGAGGGUGUACGGACACAGUGGGAAUGAGAACGGGCCGCGACUCCUACGGGAGGCAGAAGUGGGGAAUAUUGCACAAUGGGCGAAAGCGUGAUGCAGAGACGCGGCGUGGGGGAUGACGGCCUUCGGGUUGUAAACUCCUUUCGCUAGGGACGAAGCGUUUUGUGACGGUAGCUGGAGAAGAAGCGCCGGCUAACUACGUG